AAAAUUGGUGCUUCCAUGGGACUUGCUAUUUUUCCUUUCACUCUAACCAUAAAUCCCAUUGAAAAGAACAUAGCUCGGCCUAGGAACUUCAGAGCUGGAGAUGAUAAGAAGACACUGAAGUUUACUGAAUGUUAUACUCUGAGUUUGAAGAAGAUUAAUUUGAUA